UAUGUCUGGCUGCAUGAUUUUGUCCUCAUAACAAGAAAAAUGUAAAAAAAAAUAAUUAAAAUUCAACAUUUACCGUUAACAUCCAACUUGUGAAUGUUGUGCCAAAAAAAGUGAAGAAAUAUCUAACUUGUCAUUUUCCGUUUUCCUACCGAAGACGGCUGAACUACAACGUUUAAAUGAAAAAUUCAAAAAAAUCCGUAAAGAGAUCGGAAGACCA